UCCCUGAUACCUUAGUUGAUAAAGAAUCUGCCUGCAAUGCAGAAGACCCAGGUUUGAUCCCUAGUUUGGAAG
rnacentral:tRNA from 1 species